rnacentral:rRNA from 1 species
GAUGAACGCUGGCGGCGUGCCUAAUACAUGCAAGUCGAGCGAACGGACGAGAAGCUUGCUUCUCUGAUGUUAGCGGCGGACGGGUGAGUAACACGUGGAUAGCCUACCUAUAAGACUGGGAUAACUUCGGGAAACCGGAGCUAAUACCGGAUAAUAUUUUGAACCGCAUGGUUCAAAAGUGAAAGACGGUCUUGCUGUCACUUAUAGAUGGAUCCGCGCUGCAUUAGCUAGUUGGUAAGGUAACGGCUUACCAAGGCAACGAUGCAUAGCCGACCUGAGAGGAUGAUCGGCCACACUGUAACUGAGACACGGUCCAGACUCCUACGGGAGGCAGCAGUAGGGAAUCUUCCGCAAUGGGCGAAAGCCUGACGGAGCAACGCCGCGUGAGUGAUGAAGGUCUUCGGAUCGUAAAACUCUGUUAUUAGGGAAGAACAUAUGUGUAAGUAACUGUGCACAUCUUGACGGUACCUAAUCAGAAAGCCACGGCUAACUACGUG